rnacentral:rRNA from 1 species
AUACGUAGGGUGCGAGCGUUGUCCGGAAUUACUGGGCGUAAAGAGCUCGUAGGUGGUUUGUUGCGUCGUCUGUGAAAUUCCGGGGCUUAACUCCGGGCGUGCAGGCGAAACGGGCAUAACUGGAGCUCUGUAGGGGAGACUGGAAUUCCUGGUGAAGCGGUGAAAUGCGCAGAUAUCAGGAGGAACACCGGUGGCGAAGGCGGGUCUCUGGGCAGUAACUGACGCUGAGGAGCGAAAGCAUGGGUAGCAAACAGGAUUAGAUACCCUGGUAGUCCAUGCCGUAAACGGUGGGCGCUAGGUGUAGGGGUCUUCCACGACUUCUGUGCCGUAGCUAACGCAUUAAGCGCCCCGCCUGGGGAGUACGGCCGCAAGGCUAAAACUCAAAUGAAUUGACGGGG